UAGGGAAUCUUCGGCAAUGGACGAAAGUCUGACCGAGCAACGCCGCGUGAGUGAAGAAGGUUUUCGGAUCGUAAAACUCUGUUGUUAGAGAAGAACAAGGACGUUAGUAACUGAACGUCCCCUGACGGUAUCUAACCAGAAAGCCACGGCUAACUACGUGCCAGCAGCCGCGGUAAUACGUAGGUGGCAAGCGUUGUCCGGAUUUAUUGGGCGUAAAGCGAGCGCAGGCGGUUUCUUAAGUCUGAUGUGAAAGCCCCCGGCUCAACCGGGGAGGGUCAUCGGAAACUGGGAGACUUGAGUGCAGACGAGGAGAGUGGAAUUCCAUGUGUAGCGGUGAAAUGCGUAGAUAUAUGGAGGAACACCAGUGGCGAAGGCGGCUCUCUGGUCUGUAACUGACGCUGAGGCUCGAAAGCGUGGGGAGCAAACAGG
rnacentral:rRNA from 1 species